rnacentral:tRNA from 1 species
GGUGUAGCUCAAUAGUACAGCAUAUGCUUAGCAUGCAUGAGACCCUGGAUUCAAUCUCUAGUACC